CAGUUACCGGAAGAAGGACAACAGAGGGUAAACAAUAAGUACGUCACGUAGGGCCUUUAAAAAUGAAAGAGAAAGUGCAGACUUGCUCCUUCACGGAAGGAAACCUUCUCCAGGUUUGACGCGCGUUGGCUCGUCUGAGACAGGUUGACCUCCAGCUUCGCCGCUGAACAACGACACAAGGAAUGUGUUCAAGCUGUUGAGGAAACCACCGUCAUCUUAUUCCGUCCUCGUGUUCCUCCACACUGGGCUGGAUGCUGCCAGGAGCUGGUGCGGUGGCCGCAUGUGGCAUAAAAUUCCCAUCUCAUCCCAAUCGCUGGUCUCCAACCCAAACCUUUCCAAAAUACCUACCAGUGCAAUUAAAAACCUGCCUCAAAUUCCUGGAUAAUUAAGGAAGAACAUGACAUGAUGGGCCCAGCUUUUGUAUCUUCAGCUGGAGGGAGGGAGUGGAUGCCGGGGCACAUCUGCAUCAAAUCCCCAUUUCCACCAGCAAAACCUCUGCAGGUGCUGGGGGCUGUGGUGUCUCCGCCACUUACCGCACCCUCAAAUACGUGCCAGAUCUCUCCCCUCUGUGAGAAGUCUCUGCAAUUAAAUUGUCUUUAAUUGCUUUACAGUUCUGCUUCGGCUGCAUUCGCAUAUUGGAAAACCGACAGCUCUCCAAGCCGAAAUACUUUACAAUCUCGGUUUCCAUUCCCUUAAUAUUUUCUGAGCUGGUUUCCUGUUUCCCUGUUGCUAAAAACACACGUUGGCAAAUAAUAAAAUGAUUCACAUGCCAAAAAAUUUGAAACAAUUGUUUCUUCCCAGAAAUUAGUGAAAACCUUUCUUGUUGUGUUUAAUAGAAUCAGCAGAGCCUGCUGUGAUCUCUGCUCUUGCAGAAGAUGGAUUUUUAUCACCAUUUAUCAGGAAGCCAAAUGCUCCUGUGCCUCUGCAGGUUUUGGGUCCAUAACUCAAAUAGCAGGGUCUGCUUCACUUUCAGAAACAAUAUUUUUCAGGUCUUGGCAGAAGUGGGUCUUCUGUUCUCAUGCGUUCAAAAUAUUUCAUCCUAGGGUAAAAAUAACAGGGAAGCUGUUAAAGGGCUCCGGGAUCGGAAAAUUUCGCUCUGUCUAGAAUUACUCCUUUCAGGGCUCAAUUCAGUAGAAAAAAAAAAUGUGGUAUUGUGAAAGGCCAUGAAAGGAAAAACCUUUUUAGUGGGGCAGAAAGCCAAGGGAAGUUCGCAGGCUCCGCAUCUUGCACAUCCUGAUGACUUCCUAUGUACUUAAGCUAUUAAGCUGCCUUUGCCCCGGCCGUUCCUUCCCCGCAGCUCCGGGGAUGCCAAUGUGGAAGUGAAAAGCUUGAAGCUUUGAAGAGCUGAUGAUUAAAACUCAGGGAAAGCCUUGCAAUAGUCCCACUAGGGUUUUUUGCCACAAUGUGAAUGUUGGGGAGGUGCUGGCGGAGCAUCCCUGCCCCGCGCCGUCUGUCGGGGCGGGGUGUUGAGCACCUUGUAAAUCAAUAAUAACACAAACUCCUCCGCGUCAGGCUGGGUCGUGUCAGGGAUUUGAUAAACGGCAACACUUUUUCUAGUAGUUUAAAUUUUUUUAAGUAUAGAAGAAAAUGUGGAUUAUUUAAAUUAUUUUUAUGAAGGAAACCAGGAAAAAGGGAGAGUUUGGAUUUUGACUUGGAUCGACAAAGGAAAUUAAAAUUAAAAAUACCAAGGAAACUAUAAA